GGAGCUGUGACUCUGUGGUGGAGUAUCAGUUUCGCAUGCAGAAGGUGCCAGGUUCAAGCCCUGGCAUCUCCA
rnacentral:tRNA from 1 species